GAUGAACGCUGGCGGCGUGCCUAAUACAUGCAAGUCGAGCGAACAGACGAGAGUGCUUGCACUCUCUGACGUUAGCGGCGGACGGGUGAGUAACACGUGGGUAACCUACCUAUAAGACUGGGAUAACUUCGGGAAACCGGAGCUAAUACCGGAUAAUAUUUAGCUUCGCAUGAAGCAAUAGUGAAAGACGGUUCUGCUGUCACUUAUAGAUGGACCCGCGGUGUAUUAGCUAGUUGGUGAGGUGACGGCUCACCAAGGCAACGAUACAUAGCCGACCUGAGAGGGUGAUCGGCCACACUGGGACUGAGGCACGGCCCAGACUCCUACGGGAGGCAGCAGUAGGGAAUCUUCCGCAAUGGACGAAAGUCUGACGGAGCAAUGCCGCGUGAGUGAAGAAGGUUUUCGGAUCGUAAAACUCUGUUGUAAGGGAAGAACAAGUACGUUAGUAACUGAACGUACCUUGACGGUACCUUACCAGAAAGCCACGGCUAACUACGUG
rnacentral:rRNA from 1 species